rnacentral:lncRNA from 1 species
UCAAUUUAUUUGGAUCUCUAAUUUCUCUGAGGAAUAUUUUGUUGGUUUGAGUAUUAUGUUGUACUAUUUAUGUUAAUUUAUUCCUAAGUAUUUUGUUCUUUUUUGAUACCAUUAUUAAUUAAAUUAUUUUCUUAAUCUUAUUUUUGGAUUGUUCAUUGCUAAUAAUAUAAAAAGACAAUUAGACAAUUAGUUGUGUAUCUUGAGUUUGUAUCCUGUGACCUUGCUCAAUUUGUUUACUUGUUUUAAUAGUUUUUUUUUCUAAUACAAAGCCACCUGUCUUCAAAUAAAGGUCAUCUUACUUCUUCCUGUCUGAUCUAUAUGACUUUAAUUCCUUUUUCUUGACUUACUGCACUGGAUGGAAACUUCAGUACAAUGCUGAAAAGAAGUGCUAGGGUCCAUCUAUGAUAAACUCACAGCCAACAUCAUACUGAAUGGGCAAAAGCUUGAAUCAUUCCCCUUAAGAACUGGAACAAGACAAGGAUACCCACUCUCACCACUCCUAUUCAACAUAGUACUAGAAGUCCUAGACAGAGCAGUCAUGCAAGAAAAAGAAAUAAAAGGCAUCCAAAUAGGAAACCAAGAAGCCAAACAAUUUCUCUUUACUGACAAUUAUGAUUCUAUGCCUAGAAAAUCCUAAAGACUCUGCCAAAAGACUCCUAGAAUUGAAAAACCACUUUAAUACAGUUUCAAGAUACAAAAUCAAUGCACAAAAAUCAGUAGCAUUUCUAUACACCAACAGCAUCCAGGGUGCACGUGGAAUAAAAAACACAAUCCUACUCAAAAUAGCCACAAAGAAAAUGAAAUUAUCUAGGAAUACAGCUAACCAAAGAGGUGAAAGACCUGUACAAAGAGAACCACCAAACACUGCUGAAAGAAUUCAGAAAUGACACAAAUGAACAGAAAACAUUCCAUGCUCAUGGAUUGAAAGAAUCAAUGUCAUUUGAAAUGUCCAUACUGCACGAAGUAAUUUAAAGAUUCAAUGCUAUUCCUAUCAAACUACCAAUGUCAUUCUUCAUAGGAUUAGAAAAACUGUUCUAAAAUUAAUAUGGGACCAAAAACAGCUCAAAUAGCCAAAGCAAUCCUAAGCAAAAGGAACAAAGUCUCACAUUACCUGACUUCAAGUUAUGCUAUAAAGCCACAGUAACCAAAACAGCUUUGUAUUGGUACAAAAACACAUAAUGGAACAGAAUAGAAAACUCAGAAAUAAAGCUGCACAUCUACAACUAUCUGAUCUUUGACAAGGUCAACAAAAACAAGCAAUGGAAAAGGAUACACAAUUCAACAAAUGGUGCUAGGAUAACUGGCUAGCCAUAUACAGAAGAAUGAAGUUGGACUCCCACCUUUCACCAUAUACAAAAACUAAUUCAAAAUAAAUGAAAAAAAUUUAAUGUAAGACCUCAAGCUAUAAAAAUCCUGGAAGACAACCUAGUAAAUACUCUUCUCAACAUCAACCUUGGCAAAUAAUUUUUGACUAAGUCCCCAAAAGCAAUUGCAACAAAAACAAACACAGACAGUGGGGCCUAAUUAAACUGAAGAGCUUCUGCAGAGCAAAAGAAACUACUGACAGAGCAAACAGACAAUCCCUACAGAAUGGGAGAAGGUAUUCACAAACUGCAUCUGAUAAAGACCUAAUAUCCAUGAUCUGUAAGGAACUUAAGCAAAUCAGCAAGCAAAAACCAAAUAACCCCAUUAAAAAAUGGGCAAAGGACAUGAACAGACACUUCUCAAAAGAAGACACACAACUGGCAAAAAAAUGAAAAAAUCCUCAUUAUCACUUAUUAUCAGAGAAAUGCAACUCAAAACCACAAUGAGAUAGCAUCUCACACCAGUCAGAAUGGUGAUUAUUGAAAAGUCAAAAAAUAACAGUUGCUGGUGAGGCUGCAAAGAAAAGAGAACACUUACACACUUUUGUUGGGAAUGUAAAUCAGUCCAGCCACUGAAAAAAGCAGUCUAGAGAUUUCUCAAAUAACUUAAAACCAAGCUACAAGUCAACCUAGCAAUCCCAUUAUUGGAUAUGUACCCAAAAGAAAAUAAAUCAUUCUCCCAAAAGACACAUGCACUCAUAAGUUCAUCUCUGCACUAUUCACAAUACCAAAGACAUGGAAUCAACCCAAGUGCCCAUCAAUGUUUGACUGGAUAAAGAAAAUGUGGUACAUGUACACCAUUGAGUCAUAAAAAAUGGAGUUAUAAAAAUACACUAUGCAGUUAUAAAAAAUGAAAUCAUGCUCUUUGCAACAACAUGGAUGGAGCUUGAGGCCAUAAUCUCAAGCAAAUUAAUGCAGAAACAGAAAAACAAAUGCCACAUAUUCUCACUUAUAUGUGGGAGCUAUACAUUGAUCACACAUGGACUUAAAUAUGGAAAUAAUAGGCACUGUGGACCAUGAGAGGGUGGAGGGAGAGUGAAAAAAAACUAUCAAGUGCUGUGCUCACUACCUGGAUGACAGGAUCUGCACUCUAAACUUCAGCAUCAUGCAAUAUUUCCAUUUAGCACAUCUGCACAUAUAUCCUUUAUAGCUAAAAUAAAAGCUGCAAAAAUAAAAAAUAUAGUUGCUGAUGGAAAAGGAUAACUAUCUGUUGCUCUAGAUGGGGAAAGCAUGGAGAAUGGUGAAAAAGGAUAGGGAAGGUAGAAGGCACACAGGUCUACCCCUCCCCACUUGCUUUCAGCCUGUGUUGGGAAGCUGGAUUUUUCUGCACCCAGAGUAACCAACCUAUAGGGCGCUAGUGGCAUGUAUUGGGUUGUACAAG